GAUGAAGAACGUAGCGAAAUGCGAUACGUAAUGUGAAUUGCAGAAUUCAGUGAAUCAUCGAAUCUUUGAACGCAUAUUGCGCUCUCUGGUAUUCCGGAGAGCAUGCUUGUUUGAGUAUCAGUAAACACCUCAACUUCCAUAUCUUUUUUGAAAUGGGAGUUGGACUUGAGUGAUCCCAACGCUUUUCCUCACCGAAAAGUGGCGGGUUACUUGAAAUGCAGGUGCAGCUGGACUUUUCUCUGAGCUAUAAGCAUAUCUAUUUAGUCUGCCUAAAAAACAGAUUAUUACCUUUGCUGCAGCUAACAUAAAGGAGAUUAGUUCUUGUGCUGACUGAUGCAGGAUUCACAAAGACAGGCUUCGGCCGACUUUGUAAACUCGAUCUCAAAUCAAGUAAGACUACCCUCUGAACUUAAGCAUAUCAAUAAGCGGAGGA
rnacentral:misc_RNA from 1 species